AUUCCGGUUGAUCCUGCCGGAGGCCAUUGCUAUUGGGAUUCGAUUUAGCCAUGCUAGUCGCACGAGUUCAGACUCGUGGCGAAUAGCUCAGUAACACGUGGCCAAACUACCCUUCGGAGCACGAUACCCUCGGGAAACUGAGGUUAAUAGUGCAUACCACAAUCCACCUGGAAUGAGGAUUGUGCCAAAUGCUCCGGCGCCGAAGGAUGUGGCUGCGGCCGAUUAGGUAGACGGUGGGGUAACGGCCCACCGUGCCAAUAAUCGGUACGGGUCAUGAGAGUGAGAACCUGGAGACGGAAUCUGAGACAAGAUUCCGGGCCCUACGGGGGCAGCAGGCGCGAAACCUUUACACUGCACGCCAGUGCGAUAAGGGAAUCCCAAGUGCGUAGGCAUAGAGCCUACGCUUUUGUACACCGUAGGGAGGUGUACGAAUNAGGGCUGGGCAAGACCGG
rnacentral:rRNA from 1 species